rnacentral:rRNA from 1 species
GAUGAACGCUGGCGGCGUGCCUAAUACAUGCAAGUCGAGCGAACAGACGAGGAGCUUGCUCCUCUGACGUUAGCGGCGGACGGGUGAGUAACACGUGGAUAACCUACCUAUAAGACUGGGAUAACUUUGGGAAACCGGAGCUAAUACCGGAUAAUAUAUUGAACCGCAUGGUUCAAUAGUGAAAGACGGUUUUGCUGUCACUUAUAGAUGGAUCCGCGCCGCAUUAGCUAGUUGGUAAGGUAACGGCUUACCAAGGCGACGAUGCGUAGCCGACCUGAGAGGGUGAUCGGCCACACUGGAACUGAGACACGGUCCAGACUCCUACGGGAGGCAGCAGUAGGGAAUCUUCCGCAAUGGGCGAAAGCCUGACGGAGCAACGCCGCGUGAGUGAUGAAGGUCUUCGGAUCGUAAAACUCUGUUAUUAGGGAAGAACAAAUGUGUAAGUAACUAUGCACGUCUUGACGGUACCUAAUCAGAAAGCCACGGCUAACUACGU